GCCCAAAACAUCUAGCCAUGCCACGCCCUCAAGGGUCCUCAGCAGUGAUUAACAUUAAAAAUUAACGUAAGUUUGAUUUAGUUAACGAAAACAGAGCCGGCUAAUCUGGUGCCAGCCGCCGCGGUUACACCAAGUGGCUCAAAUUGAUUUUACCCGGCGUAAAGCGUGAUUAAAGAAAACAUAUACACUAGGAUCAAACUUCAACUGAGCUGUAGCACGCUUGUUCUUUGGAAGCCCAUAUUUCGAAAGAUGCCCUAACUAACAACUUGAAUUCACGAUAACUAGACCACAAACUGGGAUUAGAUACCCCACUAUGCCUAGUCAUAAACUUUAACUUACAUCUACCCCGCCUGGGAACUACGAGCAAAGCUUAAAACCCAAAGGACUUGACGGUGCCCCAUAUCCCCCUAGAGGAGCCUGUCCUAUAAUCGAUACCCCCCGUUUAACCUCACCAUUUUUAGUUUUUCAGCCUGUAUACUUCCGUCAUCAGCUUACCGCAUGAGCGACAAGUAAGCUUAAUGGUUUACACCAAUAUGUCAGGUCAAAGUGCAGCUAAUGAAAUGGAAAGAGAUGGGCUACACUUUCUAAUAUAGAAAAUACGAAAGACUAUAUGAAAUUAUACUCAGAAGGUGGAUUUAGUAGUAAAAAGAGAAAGAAUACCCCUUUUAACCCGCACUGGGGCGUGUACACACCGCCCGUCACCCUCUU
rnacentral:rRNA from 1 species